AUCAUUACCGAGUGAGGGCCCCCGGCCCGACCUCCAACCCCAUGUUUUCCGACCUCUGUUGCCUCGGGGGCGACCCGGCCGCUCCGGCCGGGGCCCCCCGUGGACCCCAACCAAACCCUGCAUAUCUGCGUCUGAGUCAAUUGAUAAAUUCAAUCAAAACUUUCAACAACGGAUCUCUUGGUUCUGGCAUCGAUGAAGAACGCAGCGAAAUGCGAUAAGUAAUGUGAAUUGCAGAAUUCAGUGAAUCAUCGAAUCUUUGAACGCACAUUGCGCCCGGUGGCAUUCCGCCGGGCAUGCCUGUUCGAGCGUCAUUACACCACUCCAGCCUGGCUGGGUAUUGGGCGUCGCGGUGUCCCCGCGCGCCUCGAAGUCUCCGGCCGAGCCGUCCGUCUCAUAAGCGUUGUGAUUUAUCAAGCCGCUUGCGAGUGCGGGGGGCCGUCGCGCCGUUAAACGACCAUCUCAAGGUUGACCUCGGAUCAGG
rnacentral:rRNA from 1 species